CCCUACGGGGUGCAGCAGGGCAAGGUUGACUUGGUCGUGAGCGCUACGCCUGAAGAUCGUCGAAUGAUUUUCGAUGCGGCUUCCGGGAUAACAAAAUAUAAGGCCAAGAAACGGGAAGCUCAGUCCAAGCUUGAGGAUACGGAUCAGAAUUUGUUGCGCUUGAACGACAUAGUAAGCGAGGUGAAGAGACAGAUUUCAUCGAUCGAGAGACAGGCCCAGAAGGCGCAGCGGUAUAAGGCUGAAUUCGAGAAGCUCAAGGAAUUGGAAGUUGUUUUUGGGUCUUGGCAAUUAGAGCUGGCUGUGAAAGAGCGUCAAGAGGUGGUCGAUUUCCUCUCGGAGAUCCGUGCCCGGGAGGCGAAAGUAGCGACGGAGCUCGAGGAUUAUCGUCAGACAUUGGAGCGCGAAUCGUUGCUUCUCGAGGAAUUGGCGGGGGGGC
rnacentral:rRNA from 1 species